GACGAACGCUGGCGGCGUGCUUAACACAUGCAAGUCGAACGGAAAGGCCCUGCUUUUGUGGGGUGCUUGAGUGGCGAACGGGUGAGUAACACGUGAGUAACCUGCCCUUGACUUUGGGAUAACUUCAGGAAACUGGGGCUAAUACCGGAUAGGAGCUCCUGCUGCAUGGUGGGGGUUGGAAAGUUUCGGCGGUUGGGGAUGGACUCGCGGCUUAUCAGCUUGUUGGUGGGGUAGUGGCUUACCAAGGCUUUGACGGGUAGCCGGCCUGAGAGGGUGACCGGCCACAUUGGGACUGAGAUACGGCCCAGACUCCUACGGGAGGCAGCAGUGGGGAAUAUUGCACAAUGGACGUAAGCCUGUUGCAGAAACGCCGCGUGCGGGAUGACGGCCUUCGGGUUGUAAACCGCUUUCGCCUGUGACGAAGCGUGAGUGACGGUAAUGGGUAAAGAAGCACCGGCUAACUACGUG
rnacentral:rRNA from 1 species